rnacentral:lncRNA from 1 species
CCAAGGUCACAGAAUAAGGCAAACCAGACUUUGUCCCGUAGCCCUGACUGCCCACCCACAUCCAUCCCAAUAUACCUGGACUUAUGCCAUGGGCCAGACUAAUACUUAGCAAUUGGGUACCAGUCUUAUGUACCUAUGUGCUGUCGUGUUUCUAUACCAUUUUUAUAAAGUCUCAGCUCUCUUAAAAUCGUAGCAUUCAUCAGCAUACAAAAACUGUUAGGAAUUUCCAAUUCAGUCCAGUUAAGAGGUUAUAGUAGGUCCUAGCUAGAUUAACCAAGGAUUAUCCUUCAAAUAAAGUAAGAACAUCUCCUGGGCGGGGGUCUGCAUUAUGAUGUCACAAGACUGCACUGUAGGGUAAAGACCCCUGGCCUCAUCUAUUCAUUUAACAAACGUGGGUUGAAUGUCUACCCGUGGCCCCGCCCUGCACUAGGACCUAACGAGAGACAAGACCCAGAAUCUGCCUUUGAAGGAGGGGGUCAGUUCAGGAAUAUGGACUCUGUCGUCAGGACACAGAAGAGCCUUUGCAGGACUAAAUCGGGCCAGAUUGUCCCUUUAGCUGUGGUGUGGAGAAGGGGUCAGAGGUGUAGGCGGGAGCUCCGGAGACCCUGCUGGUCUCGGUGACACAGGAAUACUGCAGGACACGAUGCAAAGUGCGAGAUGAUGGCAACGUGAAAUGCAAGCAGAGACAGGAUGCUGUGGACGGAGAGAAAACCCCCUAGAUGAGAUUCCGAAGGAGAAAGGGCAAAAGCCUUUCUCCAAGCCAGCAACCAGUCCUGUCUCUUUUCUCUGACCUCCAAAUCCAUCCUUGGGAGCUAGUGGCCACGAUGGCCGCCAUCAACCCUGCCCAUCGACUCUUCCCUCACGCCCCCAGAGGGAUCGAAAUGUCAUCGGAGCGUGCUACUCCCUGGCCUCCCGUGCCACUUCGCAUGAAAACCAGCCUCCUUUCCACGUCUCCGGUGCUCUACAGGCGGUUUCACCCCUCCGCUGAUGCACACCUGUUCCCUUCUGUUCCUCAAAGGAGUUGUUUUAUAUGCAAACCCCAUGACCCAGCAACUCCAUCGCUAGUCUAUACUAAACAGAAAUGUACACAUAUAUCCCUCAGAAGAUGGGUUCAAGAGUACUCAUAGCAGUGUUAUUAUUUUCUUUGGUGAGGAAGAUUGGCCCUGACCUAACAUCUGUGCCCAUCUUCCUCUAUUUUGUAUGUGAGACACUCCACAGCAUGGCUUGGUGAGCAGUGUGCAGGUCCAGGCCCGGGAUCUGAACCCCUGAACCCCGGGCCACUGAAGUGGUGCAUAUGAAGUUAACCACUGCAGCCGGCCCCGGCAGUGUUAUUCUUAAUAGCCAAAACAACCCAAAUGUCCAUGAGGAGGAGAAUGGAUAAAUAGUGGAAUUUGUCAACAAGAAUGAAAGAACAACAUGGAUGAGUCUUAAAACCAUAGUGUGGAGCAAAGAAGCCAGAUACAGAAGAGUGCAUACUAUGGGGUUCUGAGGCACAAAGUUCAGAAGCAAUCUAUGAUAUUCAAAGCUAAGAAGUUCAAAAACACUUCUGUCUAGGGAGGCAGAAGUCAGGAUGGUGGUCAGCCUGGGAGGCAGGUGGUGGAUGGGAGGGGCGCAGGGGGUCCCCUGGGGUGCCAGUUAUGUUUUGUUUCUUAUGUGGGUCUGGUUACACAGUGUGUAUUCACUCUCUGAUAGUUCACCAAUUUGUACAUUUUUCUUGGUGUCUGUUCAAUAAAGUAUUAGAAAAUAAAAGAGCUGCUCUGCGU